UACGAAGGGUGCAAGCGUUACUCGGAAUUACUGGGCGUAAAGCGUGCGUAGGUGGUGAGUUAAGUCUGUCGUGAAAGCCCCGGGCUCAACCUGGGAAUGGCGAUGGAUACUGGCUCGCUAGAGUGCGGUAGAGGAGAGUGGAAUUCCCGGUGUAGCAGUGAAAUGCGUAGAGAUCGGGAGGAACAUCAGUUGCGAAGGCGGCUCUCUGGACCAGCACUGACACUGAGGCACGGAAAGCGUGGGGAGCAAACAGG
rnacentral:rRNA from 1 species